CAAUAGCGUAUAUUAAAGUUGUUGCAGUUAAAAAGCUCGUAGUUGAAUUUUUGCUUGCCGCCGAUGUCGGAACUUCCGUACGUUCGGCGGCGUGCAUCCUUGGGUGGAACCUGUGUGGCAUUAGGUUGUCGCGCAGGGGAUGCUCAUCGUUUACUGUGAAAAAAUUAGAGUGUUCAAAGCAGGCUUACGCCGUUGAAUAUAUUAGCAUGGAAUAAUAAGAUAGGACCUUGGUACUAUUUUGUUGGUUUGCGCACCGAGGUAAUGAUUAACAGGGACAGUUGGGGGUAUUCGUAUUCCAUUGUCAGAGGUGAAAUUCUUGGAUUUCUGGAAGACGAACUACUGCGAAAGCAUUUACCAAGGAUGUUUUCAUUAA
rnacentral:rRNA from 1 species